AUCCGAGUGCACGGGCGUUUUCCUUCUCCGUGAAGCGAUAAGCUGAGAGAGGAAUUUUGCUAGUUGAAAACUAUAUAUGAACCACUUCCCAUUGGGUUCGCCCGGUGGGAGAAUUUUUGGAAUCUACUGUU
rnacentral:snRNA from 1 species